rnacentral:lncRNA from 10 species
CCCCAUCUUUAGAAGGUAUUACCUUUCAGAAUGGGAAUUGAGCUCCUUGAAAUGCUGAUUCAGUUUGGUGAGGAACAGGCAGCAGAGAAAGAGAAAUAUCCUCCUUGGUGCCUCCCAGGCUGUUAGGUGGGGCUUGAUGGAUGAGUCAGUACCUCUCACAAUUUCUGAGAGAUGGUGGGCAGGCAUCAUGUGCCAAUUUAGAUAAGCAGAGUACAUGAAAAAGGAUUUGUAAUGCUAUCCAUUAUUGGAAUCUUGCUUUUCCUUGCCUAUUCACUGGGGAAAAAGAGGGUUAUUUUCAAGAGCUCCCUGGGUAAAAGCAGGUAGCUUUCAUUUCAUGAACUGUUGUAGUAAUAACCUCCCUUAAUCAUCACGAGAUAAUGUCUCCAAUCCAAUUCCAACAUGCAAUUUUUUGUCUUGGAAAAAAGGACAGCACAUAAAUGCUGGAUGCAUCAGGAAGAGGUUAUUUCAGAAGGCAAUUUUUCUGCUGCUAAGGGUCCAUUUAUCUCUCUCAGCUUUUGGUGGAGUUAACAAGGACUCACAACCUGAUAGAGUUUGCCAUUAGGGGCCAAACAGAUUGGAACUCAUGAGGGGAAAAACCACACAAACCAAAAUUCAAAAGUCAUCAUCCUACCUUUCAGUACUUCAUGUGUUAGCAUUUAUAACAUUUAACACAUAUUGCAUAUUUCCAUUGCACCAGGCACUGGCCUAUUUCGUCCUUACAGCAACCCCCAUGAGCACUGUUGUUAGUUCCAAUUGACAGAUGAGCAAGCUGGGCACCUAGAAAGGCAACCGGCCCAGAGUCUCACAGGCAGCCUGAGGCAGGAUGGAAUUUGAAAUCAGAUCUUUACUUACAGAGUCUGAACUCUUAACUCCUCUCCAAUUAGCCACUGUAGAAAGAAAACUUAAAAAAAUUGAUUCUUAGGAGCUUAGACACAACAUUCAUUUAGCUCAGCAGUAUUAAGGGAUUUUUUACUUUCUAUGAUAAUGAAGGAAGUGAAGAUUGAAAUGAUAGCUGGGGCCCACGAGUGUGUAAACGUGUUGACCCAUUAUAUACAAAGGUAAUAUUUCUGUCCUAAUCUUCGUUAGGGUUAUUUUUCUGUACUGGGGAUUUUUCUGCUCAGUGGGUUAGUCCAUCUAACAAGGAUUGAAGUCCGGGCUUUAUCUUUUUUUUUCCUUUUGGCUGCUUGACUUUGGUUCUGGUAGGAGUUCUUAGAACGGUCUCCUUCAAAGAAUCUGGGGUUUCCUAAGCUAAUGCCAC